rnacentral:rRNA from 1 species
CCUACGGGAGGCAGCAGUGAGGAAUAUUGGUCAAUGGACGAGAGUCUGAACCAGCCAAGUAGCGUGAAGGAUGACUGCCCUAUGGGUUGUAAACUUCUUUUAUAUGGGAAUAAAAUGUUCCACGUGUGGGAUUUUGUAUGUACCAUAUGAAGAAGGAUCGGCUAACUCCGUGCCAGCAGCCGCGGUAAUACGGAGGAUCCGAGCGUUAUCCGGAUUUAUUGGGUUUAAAGGGAGCGUAGGUGGAUUGUUAAGUCAGUUGUGAAAGUUUGCGGCUCAACCGUAAAAUUGCAGUUGAAACUGGCAGUCUUGAGUACAGUAGAGGUGGGCGGAAUUCGUGGUGUAGCGGUGAAAUGCUUAGAUAUCACGAAGAACUCCGAUUGCGAAGGCAGUUCACUGGACUGCAACUGACACUGAGGCUCGAAAGUGUGGGUAUCAAACAGGAUUAGAUACCCCAGUAGUC